rnacentral:rRNA from 1 species
UACGGGGGGGGUAAGCGUUGUUCGGAAUUACUGGGCGUAAAGGGCUCGUAGGCGGCCAACUAAGUCAGACGUGAAAUCCCUCGGCUUAACCGGGGAACUGCGUCUGAUACUGGAUGGCUUGAGUUUGGGAGAGGGAUGCGGAAUUCCAGGUGUAGCGGUGAAAUGCGUAGAUAUCAGGAGGAACACCUAUGGCGAAGGCAGCUCGCUGGGACGUGACUGACGCUGAGACGCGAAAGCGUGGGGAGCGAACAGG